AGUGAACGCUGGCGGCAGGCCUAACACGUGCAAGUCGAGCGGCAGCGCGGGGGCAACCCUGGCGGCGAGCGGCGGACGGGUGAGGAAUUCGUCGGAAUCUGCCUUUUUGUGGGGGAUAACGUAGGGAAACUUACGCUAAUACCGCAUACGUCCUACGGGAGAAAGUGGGGGACCGCAAGGCCUCACGCAGAAAGAUGAGCCGACGACCGAUUAGCUAGUUGGUGGGGUAAAGGCCCACCAAGGCGACGAUCGGUAGCUGGUCUGAGAGGAUGAUCAGCCACACUGGGACUGAGACACGGCCCAGACUCCUACGGGAGGCAGCAGUGGGGAAUAUUGGACAAUGGGCGCAAGCCUGAUCCAGCCAUGCCGCGUGUGUGAAGAAGGCCUUCGGGUUGUAAAGCACUUUUGUCCGGAAAGAAAUCCCUGGAGCUAAUACCUUCGGGGGAUGACGGUACCGGAAGAAUAAGCACCGGCUAACUUCGUG
rnacentral:rRNA from 1 species